rnacentral:tRNA from 1 species
GUCACUUUGCCGGAGUGGUUAACGGGAUCGCCUGCUAUGGACUUCGAGCCCUGCUUAGCGGUUGCUCUUUGAGCGCGUGUGUUCGAAUCGCACAGGUGACG